rnacentral:rRNA from 1 species
GUUGAACGCUAGCGAUAGGCCUAACACAUGCAAGUCGAGGGGCAGCAUGGAUGUAGCAAUACAUUUGAUGGCGACCGGCGCACGGGUGAGUAACACGUAUGCAACCUACCUAUAACAGGGGAAUAACCCGGCGAAAGUCGGACUAAUACCCCAUAACACAGGGAUGCCGCAUGGCAAUCUUUGUUAAAGAUUAAUUGGUUAUAGAUGGGGAUGCGUUCCAUUAGCCAGUUGGUGAGGUAACGGCUCACCAAAGCAACGAUGGAUAGGGGAACUGAGAGGUUUAUCCCCCACACUGGAACUGAGACACGGACCAGACUCCUACGGGAGGCAGCAGUGAGGAAUAUUGGUCAAUGGGCGAGAGCCUGAACCAGCCAAAUCGCGUGAAGGAAGACUGCCUUAUGGGUUGUAAACUUCUUUUGUACAGGAAUAAAAAAGGCAACGUGUUGCCUAUUGCAUGUACUGUACGAAUAAGCAUCGGCUAACUCCGUGCCAGCCGCCGCUGUAACAC